rnacentral:ncRNA from 2 species
GAUUAUCUUCAGGGAAAGGUGAAAUUCCUUAACCGGCAGUAGAGUCUGCGAGUCCUACGGGAUUGAAUUGGUGUGAUUCCAAUACCGACAGUAUAGUCUGGAUGAAAGAAGAUUUAU